GAUGAACGCUACUAAUAGGAUAAAACAUGCAAGUCGAGGGGUACGUGUUGGAAGCUUGCUUCCGAUGACGACGACCGGGGAUGGGUGCGUAACGGUAUGCAACUUGCCUCACAGUGGAGAAUAACCCGGAGAAAUCCGGACUAAUGUUCCAUACACUCUUAAGUACGCCUGUACAUGAGAGGGAAAGAUUUAUCGCUGUGAGAUAGGCAUGCGUCCUAUUAGGUAGUUGGUGAGGUAACGGCUCACCAAGCCGACGAUAGGUAGGGGUGCUGAGAGGCAGAUCCCCCACAUUGGGACUGAGACACGGCCCAAACUCCUACGGGAGGCAGCAGUGAGGAAUAUUGGUCAAUGGAGGAAAUCUGAACCAGCCAAGUCGCGUGAAGGAAGAAGUCCUAAGGAUUGUAACUUCUUUUAGCGAGCGAGUAAGGCUUCCACGUGAGGGAGUUUGAAAAGUAGCUCGAGAAUAAGUAUCGGCUAACUCCGUGCCAGCAGCCGCGGUAAUACGGAGGAUACGAGCGUUAUCCGGAUUUAUUGGGUUUAAGGGUGCCCAGGUGGCUUGCAAGUCAGGGGGGAAAGCUGAGGCUCAACCUCAGCCUUUCCCGUGAAACUGCAGAUUGAGAGACCUGACGGGGCGGAGGGGUAGGGAGCCGUAAAAUAAAUAGAUAUACGCAGAGCGCGAUUGGAGGGGUUUUUAAAUUAAUCUUACACGAGGGUGUGGCGGGGGGAAGGAAUAUUAGUCUUGGCGACCCACACGAUUUUCGCUUUUUUUGUGUUUGGGGUGUGGCCCCACGGCCUGUCUUUUUUUUUUUUUCUUUAGUUAAAAAAAAAACAAGGACAAAGUGAUCGGGGGGUGGG
rnacentral:rRNA from 1 species